UCUUCGCUAGUAUAUCGGUUAGUAUAAUCGCCUCUCAAGUGAGAGUUCACCUCAAAGUGUUCGCGAUAGAGCAGGGUUCGACUCCCUGGCGGAGAA